rnacentral:rRNA from 1 species
GGCAACAUGAGAGCCAAACUGUCUCUUAUAACAAAUCAAUUAAACUGAUCUCCUAGUACAAAAGCUAGGAUUAAACCAUAAGACCAGAAGACCCUGUGAAGCUUUAAUUAAACUAUUAAACCCUAUAAUAACUAAUUUCGGUUGGGGCGACCUUGGAACAAAAAAGAACUUCCAAAUUACGCAGCUUCCUGCACCAAAGGCCAACAAGCCACAAAUAGACCCAGUACAUCUGAUAAAUGAACCAAGUUACUCCAGGGAUAACAGCGCUAUCUUCUUCAAGAGCCCAUAUCAAAAAGAAGGUUUACGACCUCGAUGUUGGAUCAGGACAUCCUAAUGAUGCAACCGUUAUUAAGGGUUCGUUUGUUCAACGAUUAAUAGUCCU